GACGAACGCUGGCGGCGUGCCUAAUACAUGCAAGUAGAACGCUGAAGGAGGAGCUUGCUUCUCUGGAUGAGUUGCGAACGGGUGAGUAACGCGUAGGUAACCUGCCUUGUAUCGGGGGAUAACUAUUGGAAACGAUAGCUAAUACCGCAUAAUAGUAGAUGUUGCAUGACAUUUGCUUAAAAGGUGCAAUUGCAUCACUACCAGAUGGACCUGCGUUGUAUUAGCUAGUUGGUGAGGUAACGGCUCACCAAGGCAACGAUACAUAGCCGACCUGAGAGGGUGAUCGGCCACACUGGGACUGAGACACGGCCCAGACUCCUACGGGAGGCAGCAGUAGGGAAUCUUCGGCAAGGGACGGAAGUCUGACCGAGCAACGCCGCGUGAGUGAAGAAGGUUUUCGGAUCGUAAAGCUCUGUUGUAAGAGAAGAACGAGUGUGAGAGUGGAAAGUUCACACUGUGACGGUAGCUUACCAGAAAGGGACGGCUAACUACGUG
rnacentral:rRNA from 1 species